rnacentral:rRNA from 1 species
CGUAGGGUGCAAGCGUUGUUCGGAAUCAUUGGGCGUAAAGCGCGUGUAGGUGGUUAGGUAAGUCGGAUGUGAAAUCCCUGGGCUCAACCGAGGAAGUGCAUUCGAAACUACCUAGCUAGAGGACGGUAGAGGAAGGUGGAAUUCCUAGUGUAGAGGUGAAAUUCGUAGAUAUUAGGAGGAAUACCGGUGGCGAAGGCGGCCUUCUGGGCCGUUCCUGACACUGAGACGCGAAAGCGUGGGUAGCAAACAGGAUU